UUAAUCAAUGCCAGCUCCCUAAGUCUCCAAGCAGGCCCCCAAGAUAGAAGAUUGAUUGGUCUGAAUACAUCAUACAUAAACCAGGAAUACUUCAUAAGAAUGUAAAUGACAUUUGUUUCUGAGAGCUACAAAGACAUUUCUGUGAACAAUAUAAUGACUUUCUGCUUGUCUUAGCUGGGAGGCUAAACCUCAUUUCUGAGCUAUGGUUUGGGCACCCAGAGGCUGUUGGUGGGAAAGACUUGCUGGGACCUUCUCUUGUAGCAACCACAUGGAGCUUGUGAGUUGGCCUGUUGACACUGCACGAACAUGAAUGGGAUAUAUUCAGAACUGCCUCUGGAGAGGAAGGUGAGGAAGCAAAGCUCAAUAACUAUGGUUUCUGAGGAACUCUGUAAGGAAAUUAAACAAUAACAGAGUAGAAGAUCAACAAUUCCAGGUAAACAUGCCAAUAUGUUGAUUUUACACAUAUGGCUAUUUUCAUCCUUAUAUGAUUAAACUCCCACAGCUAGUGCUGUGAUUAGUGUUCUCCUUCCAAACCAAGUUAAAGAUUAUCUGCAGUGUUUCAGUGUCUGUGGAAGGGAUUGAUAAGAAUUCCCAUAUUAUAGUAAAAAAAAAAUUACUGCUAUGAUGACAUUCUGGAUAGAAAGUUCACUUCUUUUACAUUUCCAUGUGACAAUAAGCCAACAUGUCUUCUUUUUGUUUCAGCAACACCUGGGAUAAAUCUAUGCCACAGACCAAGGCUCUUGCUAUCCCAACAUGAACUCCUUUGCACAUGCUUGUCAUAGUAAC